GCUUAACUCCUGGCUUGCGGUGGAUACGGGCAGACUUGAGUUCGGUAAGGGAGACUGGAAUUCCUGGUGUAGCGGUGAAAUGCGCAAAUAUCAGGAGGAACACCGGUGGCGAAGGCGGGUCUCUGGGCCGAUACUGACGCUGAGGAGCGAAAGCGUGGGGAGCGAACAGGAUUAAAUACCCUGGUAGUCCACGCCGUAAACGUUGGGCGCUAGGUGUGGGGAUGGGUUCCACUGUUUCCGUGCCGUAACUAACGCAUUAAGCGCCCCGCCUGGGGAGUACGGCCGCGAGGCUAAAACUCAAAGGAAUUGACGGGGGCCCGCACAAGCGGCGGAUCAUGUGGAUUAAUUCGAUGCAACGCGAACAACCUUACCUGGGUUUGACAUGCACUGGAUCGCCCCUGAGAGGGGGUUUCCCUUGUGGAUGGUGCACAGGUGGUGCAUGGCUGUCCUCAGCUCGUGUCGUGAGAUGUUGGGUUAAGUCCCGCAACGAGCGCAACCCUUGCCCUAUGUUGCCAGCGGGUGAUGCCGGGGACUCGUAUGGGACUGCCGGGGUCAACCCGGAGGAAGGUGGGGAUGACGUCAAGUCAUCAUGCCCCUUAUGCCCAGGGCUUCACACAUGCUACAAUGGCCGGUACAGAG
rnacentral:rRNA from 1 species